rnacentral:other from 1 species
CAUUGGCAGAGACAAUACAGACUGACAGAGUUGAGGCAUCUUGAGUGUGAGAGACCUAUACCCUCACUCCUCUCAGCUGCAGCCUAUUGCUGCAUUGCCUGGGACUUCUGGCUAUCUGCUGAGAAGAGCAAGCGGCCAACAGCUAGGGCAAGAUGAAGCUUUCUCUGGUGGCCGUGCUUCUGCUG